CGACGUUUAGCUGCAGAAGAAGCACCGGCUAACUCCGUGCCAGCAGCCGCGGUAAUACGGAGGGUGCGAGCGUUAAUCGGAAUUACUGGGCGUAAAGCGCAUGCAGGUGGUUUUGUUAAGUCAGAUGUGAAAGCCCCGGGGCUCAACCUCGGAAUUGCAUUUUGAAACUGGCAGACUAGAGUACUGUAGAGGGGGUAGAAUUUCAGGUGUAGCGGUGAAAUGCGUAGAGAUCUGAAGGAAUACCGGUGGCGAAGGCGGCCCCCCUGGACAGAUACUGACACUCAGAUGCGAAAGCGUGGGGAGCAAACAGGAUUAGAUACCCUGGUAG
rnacentral:rRNA from 1 species